rnacentral:rRNA from 1 species
GAUGAACGCUGGCGGCGUGCCUAAUACAUGCAAGUCGAGCGAACAGACGAGGAGCUUGCUCCUCUGACGUUAGCGGCGGACGGGUGAGUAACACGUGGAUAACCUACCUAUAAGACUGGGAUAACUUCGGGAAACCGGAGCUAAUACCGGAUAAUAUAUUGAACCGCAUGGUUCAAUAGUGAAAGACGGUUUUGCUGUUACUUAUAGAUGGAUCCGCGCCGGAUUAGCUAGUUGGUAAGGUAACGGCUUAACAAGGUAACGAUGCGUAGCCGACCUGAGAGGGUGAUCGGCCACACUGGAACUGAGACACGGUCCAGACUCCUACGGGAGGCAGCAGUAGGGAAUCUUCCGCAAAGGGCGAAAGCCUGACGGAGCAACGCCGCGUGAGUGAUGAAGGUCUUCGGAUCGUAAAACUCUGUUAUUAGGGAAGAACAAAUGUGUAAGUAACUAUGCACGUCUUGACGGUACCUAAUCAGAAAGCCACGGCUAACUACGUG